rnacentral:rRNA from 1 species
CCUACGGGAGGCAGCAGUGAGGAAUAUUGGUCAAUGGCCGCAAGUCUGAACCAGCCAUGCCGCGUGCAGGAAGAAGGAUCUAUGAGUUGUAAACUGCUUUUAUACGGGGGUAAACGUAGCUACGUGUAUCUGUUUGCAAGUAUCGUAUGAAUAAGCAUCGGCUAACUCCGUGCCAGUAGCCGCGGUAAUACGGAGGAUUCAAGCGUUAUCCGGAUUUAUUGGGUUUAAAGGGUGCGUAGGCUGUUUGUUAAGUUAGAGGUGAAAGCCCGUGGCUCAACUACAGAAUUGCCGCUGAUACUGGACGGCUAGAGAGUGGUUGCGGUAGGCGGAAUGUAUGGUGUAGCGGUGAAAUGCAUAGAGAUCAUACAGAACACCGAUUGCGAAGGCAGCUUACCAAGCUACAACUGACGCUGAAGCACGAAAGCGUGGGGAGCAAACAGGAUUAGAUACCCGGGUAGUC